GGCUUGGUAGUUUAAUUGGUAAAGCACUCGUCUAGUAUACAAGAGUCGUGGGUUCGUAAUCCCACCUAAACAC
rnacentral:tRNA from 1 species